rnacentral:rRNA from 1 species
GACGAACGCUGGCGGCGUGCUUAACACAUGCAAGUCGAACGGAAAGGCCCUGCUUUUGUGGGGUGCUCGAGUGGCGAACGGGUGAGUAACACGUGAGUAACCUGCCCUUGACUUUGGGAUAACUUCAGGAAACUGGGGCUAAUAACGGAUAGGAGCUCCUGCUGCAUGGUGGGGGUUGGAAAGUUUCGGCGGUUGGGGAUGGACUCGCGGCUUAUCAGCUUGUUGGUGGGGUAGUGGCUUACCAAGGCUUUGACGGGUGGCCGGCCUGAGAGGGUGACCGGCCACAUUGGGACUGAGAUACGGCCCAGACUCCUACGGGAGGCAGCAGUGGGGAAUAUUGCACAAUGGGCGGAAGCCUGAUGCAGCAACGCCGCGUGCGGGAUGACGGCCUUCGGGUUGUAAACCGCUUUCGCCUGUGACGAAGCGUGAGUGACGGUAAUGUGUAAAGAAGCACCGGCUAACUACGUG